GAUGAACGCUAGCUACAGGCUUAACACAUGCAAGUCGAGGGGAAACGACAUCGAAAGCUUGCUUUUGAUGGGCGUCGACCGGCGCACGGGAGAGUAACGCGUAUCCAACAUGCCCAUCACUUGGGAAUAACCUUGCGAAAGUAAGACUAAUACCCAAUGAUAUCCCACGAAGGCAUCGGAAUGGGAUUAAAGAUUUAUCGGUGAUGGAUGGGGAUGCGUCUGAUUAGCUUGUUGGCGAGGUAACGGCCUACCAAGGCAACGAUCAGUAGGGGUUCUGAGAGGAAGGUCCCCCACAUUGGAGCUGAGACACAGUCCAAAAUCCGACGCGAGGCAGCAGUGAGGAAUAUUGGUCAAUGGGCGAGAGCCUGAACCAGCCAAGUAGCGGGCAGGAAGACGGCCCUAUGGGUUGUAAACUGCUUGUAUAAGGGAAUAAAGUGGGUCACGUGUGACUUUUUGCAGGUACCUUAUGAAUAAGGACCGGCUAACUCCGUG
rnacentral:rRNA from 1 species